UGAUGAUGUCACAAGGGUAGAAUUAGCACCUACUAAUAUGAAUAGGCACAGAGAAGAAAUGAAUAAUGGGUUUGGGGACUGAAUUAGACACAAAUUACUAGGAAUUUUUUGGACAGGAAAAAUACUUGAAAGGGCAAAUCCUACACCAGACUCAAGGAGGCUUCACCAGAUACCCCAGAACUUACUGAAAGCAGGAACAUGCUGUCCUGUGCACCUUUUCUUGCUGAGUGUUUUUGCAGAGGUGCAAGGCUUGCCACUCCAUCUUUUGGCAGCUCUUUGAGAUCAGAAAGUAGGAUGCUCCUGUGCAGGCAAGACAACAUGAUUGCCAUUUGUGAGAAGAGCAGACACCUCUCUGUUUCCUUGCUGGAACUGUCCUCACAUGGAAUAACAACCCCAGCACUCCCAGUUACAAGCCUGUUCCAAGAGAACUGCACCAUUACAUCUCAAGCAGCUCCUCCAGCUCACUUUCCCUCCUCCUCAGGAGAAAGGCGUGAGGAGGUCAUCUGCAAUUGAAUGUGGAACUGGGAAAGGCUAGAUGGUGUUCCUAAAGAGGACUGGUGAACCAUUCUUGUUGCUAUCUGGGACGGGAUUUGACAGCUUACAUCAGGAAUGGGUGUGAAGUUGCCCAGAUGUGUCUGCUGAGGGAACCAUUUUCCUGGUGAUGACAGAAGUUUGGCAAGGUGCCGGAUACAAAUCUGA